ACUCCUACGGGAGGCAGCAGUGGGGAAUAUUGCACAAUGGGCGCAAGCCUGAUGCAGCCAUGCCGCGUGUGUGAAGAAGGCUCUAGGGUUGUAAAGCACUUUCAAUGGGGAGGAAAAGUUAGUAGUUAAUACCUGCUAGCCGUGACGUUACCCAUAGAAGAAGCACCGGCUAACUCCGUGCCAGCAGCCGCGGUAAUA
rnacentral:rRNA from 1 species